rnacentral:rRNA from 1 species
GAUGAACGCUGACAGAAUGCUUAACACAUGCAAGUCUUUGGCGAAGCUGUGCUUGCACAGCCUAGCCAAGGCGGACGGGUGAGUAACGCGUAAGGAACUUGCCCUGCAGUCAGGGAUAACAGACGGAAACGACUGAUAAGACCUGGUAAAGUCAGGCGGACUCAUGUCCAGCCUGAUGAAAAGUGAUGCUGCAGGAGAGCCUUGCGUCCUAUUAGCUUGUUGGUGGGGUAACGGCCCACCAAGGCGAUGAUAGGUAGCCGGCCUGAGAGGGUGGACGGCCACAAGGGGACUGAGAUACGGCCCUUACUCCUACGGGAGGCAGCAGUGGGGAAUAUUGGACAAUGGGGGCAACCCUGAUCCAGCAAUUCUGUGUGCACGAUGAAAGUUUUCGGAGUGUAAAGUGCUUUCAGCAGGGAAGAAAAAAAUGACGGUACCUGCAGAAGAAGCGACGGCUAAAUACGUG